CCUAUCGGUUGCAACGCAUAUUCAUUAACAAUUUGAGGAAAGACAAUGUUAGAUAUUGCGGCUUAACGUUAUUUGCCACGAAUAAACUAUGUUGACAUGGUUUUCAUUUAUGCUUAUUUUCUUUGCAUUUGCCGAGAUUACAACAGAAGUGAAUUUAUUUCCUUCUCAAGGAUUUAUACAAUGUGGAAACUGGACUUGUUUUAACAAAGCACAGUGUA